AAUGAACGUUGGCGGCGUGGAUUAGGCAUGCGAGUCGAGCGAGAACCGUAGCAAUACGGGGACAGCGGCGAAAGGGACAGUAACGGGUAGAUUAUCUGCCCUCAGGUUUGGGAUAGCUGCGGGAAACUGCAAGUAAUACCAAAUAAUAUCUCCGGAUCAAAGGUGUGAUUCCGCCUGAGGAUGAGUCUGCCUCCUAUUAGCUUGUUGGUGGGGUAACGGCCUACCAAGGCAUUGAUGGGUAGCGGGUGUGAGAGCACGACCCGCGUCAUUGGGACUGAGACACUGCCCAGACACCUACGGGUGGCUGCAGUCGAGAAGCUUCGGCAAUGGACGCAAGUCUGACCGAGCGACGCCGCGUGUGGGAUGAAGGCCUUCGGGUUGUAAACCACUGUCAGAGGGGAUGAAAUGCAGGUGGGUACUCCCAUUUGUUUGACAUAGCCUCAGAGGAAGUACGGGCUAAGUUCGUGCCAGCCGCCGCCGUAA
rnacentral:rRNA from 1 species